UACGGGGGGGGCAAGCGUUGUUCGGAAUUACUGGGCGUAAAGGGCUCGUAGGCGGCCAACUAAGUCAGACGUGAAAUCCCUCGGCUUAACCGGGGAACUGCGUCUGAUACUGGAUGGCUUGAGAUUGGGAGAGGGAUGCGGAAUUCCAGGUGUAGCGGUGAAAUGCGUAGAUAUCAGGAGGAACACCGAUGGCGAAGGCAGGUCACUGGGCCGCAACUGACGCUGAGGAGCGAAAGCAUGGGGAGCGAACAGG
rnacentral:rRNA from 1 species